AUUGGACGCUGGCGGAAUGCUUUACACAUGCAAGUCGAGCGGCAGCGCGGGGCAACCUGGCGGCGAGCGGCGAACGGGUGAGUAAUGCAUCGGAACAUGUCCAUGUCGUGGGGGAUAGCCCGGCGAAAGCCGGAUUAAUACCGCAUACGCCCGAGAGGGGAAAGCAGGGGACCGCAAGGCCUUGCGCGAUUGGGUUGGCCGAUGUCCGAUUAGCUUGUUGGUGAGGUAAAGGCUUUACCAAGGCGAUGAUCGGUAGCUGGUCUGAGAGGAUGAUCAGCCACACUGGGACUGAGACACGGUCCAGACUCCUACGGGAGGCAGCAGUGGGGAAUUUUGGACAAUGGGGGCAACCCGUGAUCCAGCCAUUCCGCGUGAGUGAAGAAGGCCUC
rnacentral:rRNA from 1 species